UCUCCCAGUCAAGCUCUCUCUCUUCUCAAAACAAUCGAGACCUCUCUCUCUCUAUUUCUUCCUCUCGCUCCGCCUCCAAUCGGCCUCAGCUGAGACGCCUGCCGCCACAACUCCGGAGCCCGGCGAGGUCGACGCUUCGCUGCUUCUCCUCGUCAACGUCAAUCCCUCAACGUCCUUCUUAUCCUCUCCAAAACAGAGCUGUCACUCUCCCUUAUUUGAAUCUGCCACCUCCACCUUCGAAAUCCGGCGAACGGGGGUCGAACCUCUUCCCUCACGUCCAUCUCUGCCUUCUUCGUUCUUCCUCUCUCAAGAUCUGUUCGUCUCUCUCUCUUCCCCGAAGUCACCGCCGUCGGAACUCGCCGGAGCGAGCGACGACAACCACUGCUCCUUGGUUCUCUCUUCUCUCUCGCUGAAACAGGCCCGACAUCUCUUCCUCCGCCGACCAGCCCCGCGUCCAGCCGCCGUCCACCCACUGCUCUCUCUGAAUCGACGGGCAGCAGGAGCACCUGGCCACCGCCGCCGUCGAUUUCCCGAGCCCCGACACCGCUGCUACUGGAAGAUCAGUGAAGAUCUGGUGCAACCGCCGCCGUCCGCCGACACGCCUGGAAGCUUUUUCGCCGGACCCCGCCUCUUCCGGAGACGCAGUCGUCGUGAGUCGCAGAGCUCCGACAGUCCACUACCACUCAACCUAAAGCUAAGUUCUCUAUUUUCAUUCUUCUUCUACUUCAAUAACUAGUUGUUAAGGGCAGAAUACUCAUGGUUUGUCGUUCUAAAGCGUAAAAUAACAGUGAAUGAAUCGACAUAGUUGUAAUGCCAUAGCUUGAACAUGUUGACAUGAAUGCUUGAUUGGAUUGAAAUUCGAGAUAGUAUAAUACCUUGAAUAUGAUCGAACUGAUUGAUGGCUGUUGGAGUUGAAUGAAUUGGAAUGACUGAACUUAUUGAUUCUGACAGGGAGUGAAUGAGUGAUUUCUCUCACUUUUCGGUUGUGGUGUGGUGAAUGAACUGGAACUGAAAUAAAUUUGUGUUGUUGUCUCAGUGAUUGCAGGCUGAUUGCAGGCGGAUAAUGGAAGAAAAUGGAAGAUUAUAGCAAAGCUUACCUUAAGAAUUUGGCUGGACGAAAUGGAGACUUCCUGCUCUUUGAAGAGGACUCACGGUGAAAAUGAUAGGGAAUGUUUUGUUUCUUGGCUGGAGUUGUGCAAAUAGAGGGAGAUGUGAGUUAAGUGGGAGAGUUAUUGAAUUAGCUUGAUUUAGUUGCAUAAUUGCGUGGUGGGGAAAAGUUGGGGGACAAAUUUAAUGGAAAGAAAAAGAGAAGAAAAAGAAAGGAAAAAAAAAAAAUGUAGAGGAGAAUUAUUGAUGUAUUUUCUCUGUCUCGGUGAUUCUAUAACUGUAAAGUGGAUCGCGUGCUCAUAUUUGCUUGUACUGUUUAUUUAAAUAAAUCCCAAUUUCGACAUGUGAUAUCUCGCUAAAAAUCGAUAAAUUAUAAAA